CCUACGGGAGGCAGCAGUGGGGAAUCUUGCGCAAUGGGCGAAAGCCUGACGCAGCAACGCCGCGUGCGGGAAGAAGGCUCUCGGGUUGUAAACCGCUUUCAGAAGGAACGAAACUGACGGUACUUUCAGAAGAAGCCCCGGCUAACUUCGUGCCAGCAGCCGCGGUAAU
rnacentral:rRNA from 1 species